CACGUAGGGCGCAAGCGUUGUCCGGAAUUAUUGGGCGUAAAGAGCUCGUAGGCGGACUGUCACGUCUGCUGUGAAAAGCUGGGGCUUAACCCUGGCCUUGCAGUGGAUACGGGCAGACUAGAGGUAGGUAGGGGAGAAUGGAAUUCCCGGUGUAGCGGUGAAAUGCGCAGAUAUCGGGAGGAACACCGGUGGCGAAGGCGGUUCUCUGGGCCUGUACUGACGCUGAGGAGCGAAAGCGUGGGGAGCGAACAGG
rnacentral:rRNA from 1 species